GCUUGGGUAGCUCAAAUGGUAGAGCACUUGCCCUAGAAAGGCAAAGGUCCCGAAUUCGAGUCUCGGUCUAGGCA